rnacentral:rRNA from 1 species
AGUGAACGCUAGCGGUGUGCCUUAUACAUGCAAGUCGAAGGCAGUGGCGCACGGGUGAGUAAUAUAUAGCUAAUCUGCCCCUUGCUGGAGGACAACAGUUAGAAAUGACUGCUAAUACUCCAUAGCAAGGGCUGGUACUAUAUCGUAUCAGCUAGUCGGUGGGGUAACGGCCGACCGAGGCUCUGACGGGUCACUGGUCUGAGAGGAUGAUCAGUAGCAUGGGAAGUGAGGCACGGUCCAAACUCCUACGGGGGGCAGCAGUAGGGAAUAUUGCGCAAUGGGGGAAACCCUUACGCAGCAACGCCGCAUGGAGGAUGACACUUUGCGGAGCGUAAACUCCUUUUGUUAGGGAAGCGGUACCUAACGAAUAAGCACCGGCUAACUCCGUGCCAGCAGCCGCGGUAAUAC